GAUGAAGAACGCAGCGAAAUGCGAUAAGUAAUGUGAAUUGCAGAAUUCAGUGAAUCAUCGAAUCUUUGAACGCACAUUGCGCCCGCUAGUAUUCUGGCGGGUAUGCCUGUCCGAGCGUCAUUUCAACCCUCAAGCCCCCGGGCUUGGUGUUGGGGAUCGGCGAGCCUCCGCGCCCGCCGUCCCCUAAAUCUAGUGGCGGUCUCGCUGUAGCUUCCUCUGCGUAGUAGCACACCUCGCACUGGGAAACAGCGCGGCCACGCCGUUAAACCCCCAACUUCUGAACGUUUGACCUCGGAUCAGGUAGGAAUACCCGCUGAACUUAAGCAUAUCAAUAAGCGGAGGA
rnacentral:misc_RNA from 1 species